rnacentral:rRNA from 1 species
UACGUAGGGUGCAAGCGUUGUCCGGAAUUAUUGGGCGUAAAGAGCUCGUAGGCGGUUUGUCGCGUCUGCUGUGAAAACUCGGGGCUUAACCCCGGGCCUGCAGUGGGUACGGGCAGACUAGAGUGCGGUAGGGGAGACUGGAAUUCCUGGUGUAGCGGUGAAAUGCGCAGAUAUCAGGAGGAACACCGGUGGCGAAGGCGGCUAUCUGGACAGUUCCUGACGCUGAGGCACGAAGGCCAGGGGAGCAAACGGG